UGGGGAAUCUUGGACAAUGGGCGAAAGCCUGAUCCAGCCAUGCCGCGUGUGUGAAGAAGGUCUUCGGAUUGUAAAGCACUUUAAGUUGGGAGGAAGGGCAGUAAGCUAAUACCUUGCUGUUUUGACGUUACCGACAGAAUAAGCACCGGCUAACUCUGUGCCAGCAGCCGCGGUAAUACAGAGGGUGCAAGCGUUAAUCGGAAUUACUGGGCGUAAAGCGCGCGUAGGUGGUUUGUUAAGUUGGAUGUGAAAGCCCCGGGCUCAACCUGGGAACUGCAUCCAAAACUGGCAAGCUAGAGUACGGUAGAGGGUGGUGGAAUUUCCUGUGUAGCGGUGAAAUGCGUAGAUAUAGGAAGGAACACCAGUGGCGAAGGCGACCACCUGGACUGAUACUGACACUGAGGUGCGAAAGCGUGGGGAGCAAACAGGAUUAGAUACCCCCGUAGUCCCUGAGCGGGCUGGCAAGGCGCAU
rnacentral:rRNA from 1 species